ACGCUUAGUUUAGCAGCCCAUAUACCAAAACUGGAAUGACACAGGGAAGAUUAGCAUGUCCCCUGUGCAAGGAUGACAUAUAGAUUCAUGGAAUAUUCCAUUAUUUU
rnacentral:snRNA from 1 species